AUUGAACGCUGGCGGAAUGCUUUACACAUGCAAGUCGAGCGGCAGCGCGGGGGCAACCCUGGCGGCGAGCGGCGAACGGGUGAGUAACAUAUCGGAACGUACCCAGUCGUGGGGGAUAACUAUCCGAAAGGAUAGCUAAUACCGCAUACGUCCUGAGGGAGAAAGCGGGGGAUCGCAAGACCUCGCGCGAUUGGAGCGGCCGAUAUCGGAUUAGCUAGUUGGUGGGGUAAAGGCUCACCAAGGCGACGAUCCGUAGCGGGUCUGAGAGGACGACCCGCCACACUGGAACUGAGACACGGUCCAGACUCCUACGGGAGGCAGCAGUGGGGAAUUUUGGACAAUGGGGGCAACCCUGAUCCAGCCAUUCCGCGUGAGUGAAGAAGGCCUCGGUUGUAAGACUCUGUGGAGGGAGGACGGAAUAAGGACGUGGCGAACGACCCA
rnacentral:rRNA from 1 species